rnacentral:rRNA from 1 species
AAUAAGUGCAUCUGGUGGAUGCCUUGGCGAUGAUAGGCGACGAAGGACGUGUAAGCCUGCGAAAAGCUUCGGGGAGCUGGCAAUAAAGCUUUGAUCCGAAGAUGUCCGAAUGGGGAAACCCACUCCGCAAGGAGUACUCCGACCUGAACACAUAGGGUCGGUAGAGCGAACCGGGAGAACUGAAACAUCUAAGUACCCCGAGGAAAAGAAAUCAACCGAGAUUCCGUAAGUAGUGGCGAGCGAACACGGAACAGCCUGCAUGUGAUAACAGUCGUGUUAGGAGAACAACCUGGAAAGGUUGGCCAUAGUGGGUGAUAGCCCCGUAUCCGAAAACACAAUUGUGGUACUAAGCAUGCGACAAGUAAGGCGGGACACGUGAAAUCCUGUCCGAAGAUGGGGGGACCAUCCUCCAAGGCUAAAUACUCAUCAUCGACCGAUAGUGAACCAGUACCGUGAGGGAAAGGCGAAAAGACCCGGAGGGAGUGAAAUAGAACCUAGAAACCGGAUAGCAUACAAACAGUGGGAGCC